UAAUUGUUUUUAUGUUGGUAGUCAAAUUUCGUCACUGAUGACGUGCGACCAAAGUUAUAGCGUACAGACUAGAUUCUUCAUCCCACUGUAUUUCUGGGAUAAUCCAGCGCAACUUCGAACAAACACGAGUCGUUUCUAUGGACUAUUAUUAAAUAUCCGACGUUAUCUUAUCGGUAAAAUGGAAUAAUUGCCUCGAGCCUGGCCACAUGACAAUUUCGGUGAGCUUCUCUCACCAUGUGUAAAGUCGUCAAUAUCCAAGCACACCCGUGUGGUUGCGUAGAUAAUCAAACAACUCUCACAAUAUUGGCGAUAUUUUUAGUAAAUCUCACUUCAAUUUGCAUGUGCAAAAAAAUAGAUUACUACAUUCACUUCACAUCAGAAGGCGCCAACGCGUUAAGCGUAUGGCCACAAGCAUUGUUUUUUUUGGCUGCUUGCAUGCUUGCCAUUUAAGUGUUUUUUAUCAUUCUACUUUACGGAUGUGUACUUACUUGUUAUUGCAAAACAUUGAUGAACGUUUAUGCAGUUUUCUUGUGGGAGUCUGUUCAUAAAUCAGCAACAUGACAAAAAUAUAAAAUAAUUGUCUUGCACCAAGCACUGAGAAUUUUGUUCCCGCAACUGAACUGCUGAAGGAAUUCCAGUAAUUAUACGAAACAUUUGCAGUUUUCUACACACAGGAACAAGCACUAACGCAACCAUGGAAAAGGAUUCUGAGGUUUCGAAUAUAUUUUUGUUAACUCAAGUUUUAAAUAUACAAGUUAGGUACAA